UACAGAGGGUGCAAGCGUUGCUCGGAUUUACUGGGCGUAAAGCGUACGCAGACGGUGAGAAAGGUCGGAUGUGAAAGCCCCGGGCUCAACCCGGGAACUGCAUCCGAAACCAUCUCGCUAGAGUAUGGGAGAGGGAAGCGGAAUUCCUGGUGUAGAGGUGAAAUUCGUAGAUAUCAGGAGGAACAUCUGCGGCGAAGGCGGAUCUCUGGGCCUUACCUGACGCUCAGGUGCGAAAGCUAGGGGAGCGAACAGG
rnacentral:rRNA from 1 species